rnacentral:rRNA from 4 species
GUUUGAUCAUGGCUCAGAUUGAACGCUGGCGGCAGGCCUAACACAUGCAAGUCGAACGGUAACAGGAAGCAGCUUGCUGCUUCGCUGACGAGUGGCGGACGGGUGAGUAAUGUCUGGGAAACUGCCUGAUGGAGGGGGAUAACUACUGGAAACGGUGGCUAAUACCGCAUAACGUCGCAAGACCAAAGAGGGGGACCUUCGGGCCUCUUGCCAUCAGAUGUGCCCAGAUGGGAUUAGCUAGUUGGUGAGGUAACGGCUCACCAAGGCGACGAUCCCUAGCUGGUCUGAGAGGAUGACCAGCCACACUGGAACUGAGACACGGUCCAGACUCCUACGGGAGGCAGCAGUGGGGAAUAUUGCACAAUGGGCGCAAGCCUGAUGCAGCCAUGCCGCGUGUAUGAAGAAGGCCUUCGGGUUGUAAAGUACUUUCAGCGGGGAGGAAGGUGUUGUGGUUAAUAACCGCAGCAAUUGACGUUACCCGCAGAAGAAGCACCGGCUAACUCCGUGCCAGCAGCCGCGGUAAUACGGAGGGUGCAAGCGUUAAUCGGAAUUACUGGGCGUAAAGCGCACGCAGGCGGUCUGUCAAGUCGGAUGUGAAAUCCCCGGGCUCAACCUGGGAACUGCAUUCGAAACUGGCAGGCUUGAGUCUUGUAGAGGGGGGUAGAAUUCCAGGUGUAGCGGUGAAAUGCGUAGAGAUCUGGAGGAAUACCGGUGGCGAAGGCGGCCCCCUGGACAAAGACUGACGCUCAGGUGCGAAAGCGUGGGGAGCAAACAGGAUUAGAUACCCUGGUAGUCCACGCCGUAAACGAUGUCUACUUGGAGGUUGUGCCCUUGAGGCGUGGCUUCCGGAGCUAACGCGUUAAGUAGACCGCCUGGGGAGUACGGCCGCAAGGUUAAAACUCAAAUGAAUUGACGGGGGCCCGCACAAGCGGUGGAGCAUGUGGUUUAAUUCGAUGCAACGCGAAGAACCUUACCUGGUCUUGACAUCCACAGAACUUUCCAGAGAUGGAUUGGUGCCUUCGGGAACUGUGAGACAGGUGCUGCAUGGCUGUCGUCAGCUCGUGUUGUGAAAUGUUGGGUUAAGUCCCGCAACGAGCGCAACCCUUAUCCUUUGUUGCCAGCGGUUAGGCCGGGAACUCAAAGGAGACUGCCAGUGAUAAACUGGAGGAAGGUGGGGAUGACGUCAAGUCAUCAUGGCCCUUACGACCAGGGCUACACACGUGCUACAAUGGCGCAUACAAAGAGAAGCGACCUCGCGAGAGCAAGCGGACCUCAUAAAGUGCGUCGUAGUCCGGAUUGGAGUCUGCAACUCGACUCCAUGAAGUCGGAAUCGCUAGUAAUCGUGGAUCAGAAUGCCACGGUGAAUACGUUCCCGGGCCUUGUACACACCGCCCGUCACACCAUGGGAGUGGGUUGCAAAAGAAGUAGGUAGCUUAACCUUCGGGAGGGCGCUUACCACUUUGUGAUUCAUGACUGGGGUGAAGUCGUAACAAGGUAACCGUAGGGGAACCUGCGGUUGGAUCACCUCCUUACCUUAAAGAAGC